UACGUAGGCAGCGAGCGUUGUUCGGAGUUACUGGGCGUAAAGGGUGCGUAGGCGGUUGUUUAAGUUUGGUGUGAAAUCUCCCGGCUCAACUGGGAGGGUGCGCCGAAUACUGAAUGACUAGAGUGCGGGAGAGGAUAGUGGAAUUCCUGGUGUAGCGGUGAAAUGCGUAGAUAUCAGGAGGAACACCGGUGGUGUAGACGGCUAUCUGGAACCG
rnacentral:rRNA from 1 species